CUGCCUUCCAGUGACCAGGAUGAAAGAUGCACCCAUGAAUUAUAUAUUUCAAGUCAUCUCUAAAUUGCCUGGCAAUUACAGAACAGCAAGGUCAGCUGCCGGGAGCAAGAAUCUCCCUUUUGGCAGAGAAAAACAGAUGGAUGGAAACACAACGAUAUACAGAAAGAUGUUACCUCUUGGAGGGGGGGUGUUUUUCAGAUGCUGGUCACCAUAGAUGCUGGUCACCACCAUGCCCUUUCAUAAGUGUCCUUACAAAAGGAGGAAAUCAGGACAGAUACAUCCAGAGGGAAGACGCUAUGAAGACACAGAGAAGAGGGCCAUCUAUGCCAAGGAGAGGGGUAGGAAGCAAAUUCUUCCCACACACACCUCGGAGGAACCAACCCUGCUGACACCUUAAUUUUGGACUUCCAGCUUCCAGAACUGUGAGAUAAUAAAUUUUAGUUGUUUAAGCUA